AGUCGAGCGCGAAGAUCAGGAGCUUGCUCCUGAGAUUCGAGCGGCGGACGGGUGAGUAACACGUAGGCAACCUACCCUUGAGAUUGGGAUAACUACCGGAAACGGUAGCUAAUACCGGAUACGACAUUCCUGCAUAAGUAAGAAUGUUAAAAGGCGGAUUUAUCUGCCGCUCAUGGAUGGGCCUGCGGUGCAUUAGCUAGUUGGUGAGAUAGUAGCUCACCAAGGCGACGAUGCAUAGCCGACCUGAGAGGGUGAUCGGCCACACUGGGACUGAGACACGGCCCAGACUCCUACGGGAGGCAGCAGUAGGGAAUCUUCCGCAAUGGACGCAAGUCUGACGGAGCAACGCCGCGUGAGUGAUGAAGGGUUUCGGCUCGUAAAACUCUGUUGUUAAGGAAGAACACUUGAGGUAGUAACUGGCCUUGAGAUGACGGUACUUAACCAGAAAGCCACGGCUAACUACGUGCCAGCAGCCGCGGUAAUACGUAGGUGGCAAGCGUUAUCCGGAAUUAUUGGGCGUAAAGCGCGCGUAGGCGGUAAAAUAAGUCUGAUGUGAAAGCCCCCGGCUCAACCGGGGAGGGUCAUUGGAAACUGUUUUACUUGAGUACAGAAGAGGAGAGUGGAAUUCCAUGUGUAGCGGUGAAAUGCGCAGAGAUAUGGAGGAACACCAGUGGCGAAGGCGGCUCUCUGG
rnacentral:rRNA from 1 species